GACGAACGCUGGCGGCGUGCUUAACACAUGCAAGUCGAGCGGUAAGGCCCUUUCGGGGGUACACGAGCGGCGAACGGGUGAGUAACACGUGGGUGACCUGCCCUCAGCUCUGGGAUAAGCCUGGGAAACCGGGUCUAAUACUGGAUAUGACUCCAUGACGCAUGUUGUGGGGUGGAAAGCCUUGUGCGGCUGAGGAUGGGCCCGCGGCCUAUCAGCUUGUUGGUGGGGUGANGGGCCUACCAAGGCGACGACGGGUAGCCGGCCUGAGAGGGCGACCGGCCACACUGGGACUGAGACACGGCCCAGACUCCUACGGGAGGCAGCAGUGGGGAAUA
rnacentral:rRNA from 1 species